rnacentral:lncRNA from 1 species
GCUGUCGAUUGUCGUGGUAGUAAAGGCCUUUUUUGUUAUUGGAAAAAAGUGUGUGAAUUGAAAAAAAAAAUCAUAAUGCGCAUGCUCAUUGACAAUUCGUGUAUUGCGUGUAGUCUAUUCAUGUCACAAAUUUUGGGCCGAGGUUUUUGUCUGGUCCAGGAACGUGAGGAAUGUCAUUCCAUUUCCAACGCCGAGAUGUUACGCGGCAUUAUUUAAAAAAAGUAAACAAAUGUUCAAGAUUAAAUUUUAUCGAGCUCUAGACCUGAUUCUUUCUUUUUUUUUUUUCAUUUUUCGUUAAAAUUAAAUAAAAUAGUAGUGUAAAAAACUAUCUUUAGGAAUAUAUUUUUAUUAUUUUGAAAAAUAGCGCCGUUAUAAAUAUAAGCAAAAUGGAGGUCUUUUCACUUUCUGUUUUGUUACCAGGUGGAAAAUUGUCCAAUUCCAAUAAUCUUAUUCCAAUAAC